CUCCCCCCAGGAAGCACGCAAUCCCCUUUCCCCUUCCUCGCACGCGACCUCCUUGUCUCCCUCACUCACGCCUCUUCUCCUCGGCCCCCCGCGCGCUGUCCAUCGGCGGACGAGGAAGGCUGGUGCCAGCAACGACCGCAGAGAGCUACGUCGGUCGGCAGUGGAGGUGCGGCUGCGGCUGCGGCCGAUGGGCAUAGCAGAGCGAAGCGGCGCGGCGGCCGAGCGCGAUCCGUGGACAUCGACCUUAGAGACCAAGCUGGGAGGAAGGAGGAGAAGAGGCUGGAACUGGGGGGACUCGGCGGAGGAGUAGAGGCCGCAGCGGUGGAUCGGAGUUUGUAUCGCGGGACGGCGGUGAGGAAGGCGAGCCGGAGGUGCCCUCGCUGCUGCCCCCACCACUUCGCGUCUGUACAGGUCGUUGCUGCCGCUGCUCUUCUUCCGUUAGGAAGAAAGGUCGAUAAAUGCAACAAGGGAUUAUCAAGUACAAGAAGAAGUGCGUGCAUGGGACGAGCAAGCUAAUUCCUGGAAGCGGACUUACUGCUAUGGUUGUGUUAAUGAUGACAGAGUGUUCCCAUCGUUGAAGCCAAACUGACAGAUGAGCCUGGUGUUGAUCCUUUUGCUCAAAGGAGGGAAGAGAAGAAGAGCAGCAUCGAUAAACAAGAAAUUAACAGACGUGGGAAUUUGAAGAACGGGCCAUCGUCGGAUUUUCUCCCAGGUGAGGGGAGGCGUUCAGGGGAUUGGCUACGAAGGCGCUGGCCACCGAGCGCCGAGCGGCAGCUAGCCUACAACGAAGAUCUGCACAAGGGCGCUACAAGAUCUGCAUGGACGUCCUAGAAUCCACCGGUCUGUAGUAACAUGAGUCCCACGCUCGGCCUCCUGCAAGGGCGACCUUUCCUACUCCCAAAAGCAGACCUGGUUCAAGAUCAGAGGCAACAAGUAAGCUCCUACUAUGUGUCUAUGUUAAUCUGUCAUCUCAGUAUAAUUCAUCCCCAUCCCACUACAUUUAGUUCAGUUCAGUUAAGUGAUUAGGCAUAAUGCGCGAAUGCAAGCAAGGUUGGGAGGAAUGGGUCGAUGGUGUCAUGCCUCGGCGCACGGGACCAGGUAAGGCAACUUGCACUUUGAUUUCCAAAGUGGUGGUUUGGAUUUUGGACAGUACUAUAACCCGAUGGUCAUCUUCUCGAUCUACAUCAGUAUUCUGUAGAGGCUGUGAACAAGCUUGAGGGACCUGAAAGUUGAGUGAUGGUUUUCCUUUUUUUUCAAGUAUUUUAUAAUUUUUUAUUCUCCACUCUAAACAGUUCACUUCAAUAUCUCUUACACAAAAGCAACUCCCAAGGGCGUUCUGAAGCUUACGAAAGUGGAAGGCCUAAACAUCUAUCAUCUAAAGACUCAUUUGCAGAUACUACUUUAGGGUUAUUUCGCCACUUCACUGAAAAUGAAACCAAACAUCUCUUCUUCUUUUCUUUGUUGAACAGAAGUACCGACACACAAAGUAUAUUCCAUAGAUCAAAGAAGAGUAAAUGUGUAUAUCGCACAAUUCAAAGGUUAAAAUAUUGUUCUGCUAAAUACCCCCAUCAUCUCAGUAGUUUGUGGGUCAUUACGAUCAGCAUUUACGAUUUGCAUCAAAGUUUUCUAUGCAUGCAAACAAAACUACUCUGAUCAAGUUGGUAUGGAGUUGGACACCCAGACUUUUUGCGCAUCUAAGUGUCGUGACAUUGAUUGUUUCAUCUAAUUCUCCAUGUGCCAAGUGAUGUAAAUACUGAAAGGAUUACCAUUUUAUUAUAUUAACAAAGACAAUCGUUUCCUGUAACUACUACAGUAUCUUAGACCGAUUCCAACUAGAUGGAACUGGCUCAAUUGUACAAGAAGUACAAGGACCAGGGUAUGAUCUAUCUGCAUAUGAUCAGUCCUUGAUUUUCAGUUAUGAUAUAUUAUGCUUACAAUUUGAUGCGACCACAGGUUUUGAGUUCCUUACUUUCCCAUGCAAUCAGUUUGGUGGGCAGGAACCUGGCAUUAAUGAGUAAAUUGUUCAGAUUUCUUGCACUCAUUUGAAGGCCGAGUAUCUGAUUUUUGACAAGAUAAAUGUGUGCUUGAUACUCCCUCCUCCUUUUUUCUUGGUGGUUCUCUGCUUCAAGCUGAAAGAAACGAUUGCAUUUGUGUACAAUGUACACUAUGACUGCUUCCAUGAACAAUUACUAUAAUUUGAUUGAGGAAACACGAUCCAGCCUGUGUACUCUAUUUUUAUGCAGUCUGAGCGAUAUAAAAUCUGAAACCAAUGUUGGUUAUUAAAAAAUCGGACUUUAGUUGUACCAACUGACUGGGCGUGUCCGUGCUCCUGUGUUCUUGGGGCUACGAUAACCUCCUUGUGUGCCCCUCAGCAUUAAUGAGAUAAUGUUGGUCCAAUGCUUAUAAUUUAAUCAGUGGUUCCUACUGAAUUUUUAAAAGGUCUAUGCCUAAUUUGGUGUUGCUUAUUCAAUUAGCUUCACAUGUUGCAACUAAUCAUGUUUGAUGUGCUGCCAUGCUCUCAGUAUUAUCUUGUUCAGUUCUAUAAAUUUUUUUUGAGCUUUUGUUCAGUGCUAUAAUUGGGGCCAUGCUCUUAGUAUUGUGUUGUUUUUACGCACUCAACACCUACUGCAGGUGAUAGACUCGUAAAAAAAUCUAAGGUUAAUAUUUAUGCUCAAGGAGAAAAGGAGAAAUCUACACAUCUUGGUGAUGCUGAGAUGUGUAGGCUUUCUAAUAUUGCUUAUUCCUGAUUGAUAUGUCAUCAAAUCAAGUAAAAACGAGUAUGCUUUGAUCCAUGCCACAUCCGUUGAAUGUAACCUCUUGGUACUUCCUACUUUUCAGUAGAUUUUUGAGGGGGGAGAUACAUGGUCUCAAUACUGCAUUCGGUCUAGAAGAAGCUGAUCUGUAUGAGAUGCGGCAGUGCCAGGGGACAGUUGCUUCUGCUAUUUUUGGUUCCAAAACUAUUACUUCAUCGACUCUUUACUGAUGUGCGGUAUUCACUCUGGAUCGAUGGGAAACUUAAACUUGUGAAGGAUCCUUAUCAGUUGUUAGAGAGAUUCUUGUGGAGGAAAAAUGUGCGCUUCGCUAUUUCCAGGCAUUAUAGACUCUUUGAUGUCCUUGAGGAAGCUGAGGCCAACAAGGCUGGUGGGAAGUAUGAUAAUGCUUCAAUCGAUAACCAAAUAGAGUUCUACAAGAGAGAGGGUUUAACCCAUUAUUCAUCAGCUAAGUUCCUUAUUACAAGCGAUGUCCCCGAGGGCUGUGUAACUAUAGGAGAGCACAUACCCAUCACCAAUCUAUUCACAUGCCUUUGGUUCAAUGAAGUUGAUCGUUCCACCUCAAGAGAUCAGCUAAGCUUUAGCGCAGCGAGGGAUAAAAUAAGAUCAAGAGUUCUUUUUGACAACUAAAUAAGACUAGGAGUUAAUUGGGCUGUAGACAUGUUCCUGGAUUGUGGAAGGCGUGAUUUUGUUGUUCAGGUACUUUCGAGUUAAUGCUUUGUGCGGCACGUCAUUCCAUUUGCAACCUAUAAGUACUACUGCAUCUUGGUACCGAGUGCAAACUUGUGAAAUUACACAAAAAAUCCCGCAUAACGAUGGAUCUUCGCAUCGUCAUAGGGAGCUGUCUGAAAACAACAUCAGUGGACAGAUGAUUUUUUGGAAAGAACAAUGCCAGGAUCUUUGACAGAAUAGAAUUUUACUGGAGUUUGAGGCUAUAUUAUUGAUGAGGUAUCCUGGAGAGCUGCAAGCUGCCUUUCUUGUUUUGAAUCAUGUUCCUGUUGUUUUCUUCCUGGUGAGAGUGUAUUAUGUGGGUAGUGUAAUCAUCAUGAUCUCUGAGGCUAUGUAUAGAGUUGCAUCAUUGUUUUCUUGAAAAUUGCCCCUCUAAAUUCAUGUUCUCUUAUAACUUAUCCUGUAAAAUCUUCUCUGUAUUUUAAUGAAGUUUGACGUCACGCCA